ensembl:misc_RNA Y_RNA Y RNA
GCCAGGUCCGAAGAUAGUCAGUUAUCUCAAUGGAUUGUUCACAGUCAGUUACAGAUGGAACUCCUUAUUCUACUCUUUCCCCCUUGUCACUACUGCACUUGAUUAGUCUUAA